AGUUCAUCUUCAACUUCUCCCAACAAUGGCCUGGAGUUUUCUGUGCAUGUGUCUGGCAUGUUUUCCUUUAGAUCUAGUCCUAGGUGUUCGAUAUGCUAUUGAGGACUGUGUAUUGUUAUUUCAUUUGUCACCUGUGCAUGGUGCUUUAAUCCUGUGCCCUAAACUCCCGCCUUGGCCAUGGCAGUGUUUCUGUGGACUCGCGGGGUUUCCGUGUGCACACGCGUGUCCUCUGUCUGACAGUGGCUUUGCUUCCCCUUGUCAGUCUGUGCCUCGGCUUCUCACUGCACUGGCGAGGUGAGCCGGCGCUUGCUUAUCUUAUUCCCAGUCUCGGUGAACAUGGGCUCGGUCUCUCCCGGCUCAGUGUUGGGUUUGCACUGGUGCACUUACAGGCGGAAGAGCUUCCUCAUUUGCUGAGGGCUUUUCCUGAAUCCGUGUUGGAUGUGGUCAGCUGCCUUUCCUGCAUCUAGUGAGAUGCUCAUGAGGUCACUUCCUUACCGCAUUACUGUAGUGAAUUACGCUGACUUUCAUAUGCCAAGAUGACCUGGCAUUUCCAGUGGUCUUUCUAUUUUCUCAUCAAAUUGAGACUUUGGGGAAACUACAGAGCAGCAAACCAGGAUAUAUCCUCUUAAAAACAGCUCGAGCUGGCCAGGCGCAGUGGCUCACGCCUGUAAUCCCAGCACUUUGGGAGGUGGAGGUGGGCAGAUCACGUGAGGUCAGGAGUUUGAGACCAGCCUGGCCAACAUGGUGAAACCCCAUCUUUACUAAAAAUAAAAAAUUAGCCAGGCAUGGUGGCAGGCACCUGUAAUCCCAGCUACUUGGGAGGCUGAGGCAGGAGAAUGGCUUGAACCUGGGAGGCAGAGGUUGCAGUGAGCCGAGAUCGCGCCAUUGCACUCCAGCCUGGGGGACAAGAGCAAGACUUCGCCUCAAAAAAAAAAAAAAAAACCCCAGCUUGAGCCAAGUGUGGGUGGCUCCCGCCUGGAAUCCCAGCACUUUGGGAGGCUGAGGUGGGCAGAUCACUUGAGGCCAGGAGUUUGAGACCAGCCUGGCCAACAUCACAAAAUCCCAUCUCUACUAAAAAUACAAAAAUUAACCAGGAGUGGUGGCAGCAUCUGCCUAUAAUCCGAGCUACUCGGGAGCCUAAGGCACAAGAAUCACUUGAAGCUGGGAGACAGAGUUUGCAGUGAGCCAAAAUCGUGCCACUGCUCUCCAGCAUGGAUGACAGAGCAAGACUCUGUCUCAAAAAAAAAAAGCUUGAAAAUUAAAAAAUAUCUCAAUAAUUAUGAGAUGCAGUGAUUUUUUUUUUACUUCCCUAAGCUGGGUUUCCAGGUAUCUCUAGGUUCAGCUCCUCCGGGGCUGGAAGUACAUGAAGGGCAGCAUUGCCCACCUUGACCAGAGCAGGCUUGGAGCAGGGCAGUGGAAGAGCUGGUCCCAGCUCAGCCCAGCCUGCUGGGUCAGCAUCCAUCUGAAAGGUCAUCUCUACCCAGGAACUUGGUGGCUUCCAGCUCCACCCUAACAGAAACCUCCCCAGCAUCUUGCCGAGUUGUAAUCCAGGGUGGUGGUAUAGACGGUCUUGGGGUAGCUGGUAUAGACGGUCUUGGGGUAGCUGGUAUAGACGGGCUUGGGGUAGCUGGUAUAGACGGGCUUGGGGUAGCUGGUAUAGACGGGCUUGGGGUGGCUGGUAGUGGUGCCGAGGAGGUGUGUGGGCUGGUGCUGCAGCUGGAAGCGCACCUCAGCCAUGGUGUUGUGCCAGGUGUGGUUGGGGAUGCAGGGGACCUUCUGGCCGCAGGAGGCCCCUGCCAGGCAUAGGCAGCUGCGCGGUGUGGAAGAAGUGCCGCUCGGAGUCGUGCUUGACAAGGAAGUACACCUUACUCCUCUCAGUGGUGAGGGGUCAAACCACUCCUUCCCAGCGAUGGGGCCAGCAGCCUGGCGAGGGCUAGGCACCGGGGAGGGAUGCUGGAUUUGGAGCUGGGGGGAAGGGGUCACCCUGCAUUGGGCUCCAGUGCUCCGGGUGCCAUGCCUGCUCCCCCACCACUGCCCCCGCUGCCGCCGCGGGACCCCAGGGGCUAGGGCUGAAGAGCAGCCUCGAGCCGGGCUGUCCAGGAUGCGGUCACCCUUCUUCCUCGUGUCUGUGAGCUCAGGCACAACCUGCAGCUUAGCCAGCCCACUAUGGCUGCGUGCGUGGCAGGGCCCGGGCCACCAUGGCUGCGUGCGUGGUAGGGCACAUGAUUAUUUUAGCCUCUGGUAUCACUAGCCACCCCUAAAGUCUCCAAUGGUCUGUUCCUGUCUUUCCCUCUGGUUCACUUGUGGGGUCAUGUUGUCUUCUGUUCUUUGUUAUUUCUUAUUUUUUUCUUGAGACGGAGUCUUGCUCUGUCGCCCAGGCUGGAGUGCGUUGGUGCGAUCUCGGCUCACUGCAACCUCUGCCUCCCAGGUUCAAGCGAUUCCCCUGCCUCAGCCUCCCAAGUAGCUGGGACUAUGGGCACCUGCCACCAUACCCAGCUAAUUUUUCUGUGUGUGUGUGUGUGUGUGUGUGUGUGGGUGUGUGUGUGUGUGUUUUGUUUUUUGUUUUUUUUUUUUUGAGAUGGAAUCUCACUCAAUUGCCCAGACUGCAGUGCAAUGGCGCAAUCUUGGCUCACUGCAACCUCCACCUCCUGGGUUCAAGAAAUUCUCCUGCCUCAGCCUCGCAAGUAGCUGGGAUUACAGGCCCCUACCACCACAGUGGGCUAAUUUUUGUAUUUUUAGUAGAGACAGGGUUUCACCAUGUUGGCCAGGCUGGUCUCGAACUCCUGACCUCAGGCAAUCCGCCCACCUCGGCCUCCCAAAGUGCUGGGAUUGUAGGCAUGAGCCACCAUGCUUGGCCUAAUUUUUCUAUUUUUAGUAGAGACAGGACUUCACCAUGUUGGCCAGGCUGGUCUCAAAUUCCUGACCUCAAGUGAUGUGCCCACCUCGGCUGCCCAAAGUGCUGGGAUUACAGGCGUGAGCUUCCGUGCCCGGCCUGAACUGUUAA